UUCUUCGGAGAGUUUGAUCCUGGCUCAGGAUGAACGCUGGCGGCGUGCCUAAUACAUGCAAGUCGAGCGAACUGAUUAGAAGCUUGCUUCUAUGACGUUAGCGGCGGACGGGUGAGUAACACGUGGGCAACCUGCCUGUAAGACUGGGAUAACUCCGGGAAACCGGAGCUAAUACCGGAUAACAUUUUCUCUUGCAUAAGAGAAAAUUGAAAGAUGG
rnacentral:rRNA from 1 species